GGCACUUGUAUUUUUGUCUUAGUUUGUGUACUUAAACUUAAUGGACCGGUGCAAAAAAUAAAUCCGCUUUUGCAACUCAUAACUCAUGGUUCUGUAUGAGUUUUGAUACAUAUAAAAGGAAUGUU
rnacentral:snoRNA from 1 species